UGCCUACGGGGCGCAGCAGUGAGGAAUAUUGGUCAAUGGGCGCGAGCCUGAACCAGCCAAGUCGCGUGAGGGAUGACGGUCCUACGGAUUGUAAACCUCUUUUGCCGGGGAGCAAGGGCGGGGACGUGUCCCGGCCCGGAGAGUACCCGGAGAAAAAGCAUCGGCUAACUCCGUGCCAGCAGCCGCGGUAAUACGGAGGAUGCGAGCGUUAUCCGGAUUUAUUGGGUUUAAAGGGUGCGUAGGCGGGCUUUUAAGUCAGCGGUAAAAAUUCGGGGCUCAACCCCGUCCGGCCGUUGAAACUGGGG
rnacentral:rRNA from 1 species